AAUGCAAGCCGAUCUAUCGCUUGCUGAUUCAUUUAUAUUGACUUGUUCAAUGGUAAAGGUAAGCAGCAAGAGGAAAGUCCGGGCAACACAGGGCAUCUCGCUUCCUAACGGGAAGAGGUUUAGGAUUGAAAACCUAAAUUAUGGAAAGUGCCGCAGAAAAUACACCGCCGAUGGCUUAGGCACAGGUAAGGUUGAAAUCGUGAGGUAAGAGCUCACGAAUACUCCGGGCGACCGGAGCAUUGGUAAACCCCGGGAGUUGAAAGACCAAAUAGGCUAACGCAUGUAGGGCUGCCCGUCCGAUGUUAGUGGGUAGGUCGUUAGAGAUAAAUGGCAACAUUUAUAGUAGAUUAAUGAUAGAUACUCCAGAAAUGGAAUACAGAACCCGGCUUACAGGCUUGCAUUUUUU
rnacentral:RNase_P_RNA from 1 species